UGGGGAAUAUUGGACAAUGGGCGGAAGCCUGAUCCAGCCAUGCCGCGUGUGUGAAGAAGGCCUUUUGGUUGUAAAGCACUUUAAGCGAGGAGGAGGCUACUUGGAUUAAUACUCUAGGAUAGUGGACGUUACUCGCAGAAUAAGCACCGGCUAACUCUGUGCCAGCAGCCGCGGUAAUACAGAGGGUGCGAGCGUUAAUCGGAUUUACUGGGCGUAAAGCGUGCGUAGGCGGCUUCUUAAGUCGGAUGUGAAAUCCCUGAGCUUAACUUAGGAAUUGCAUUCGAUGCUGGGAAGCUAGAGUAUGGGAGAGGAUGGUAGAAUUCCAGGUGUAGCGGUGAAAUGCGUAGAGAUCUGGAGGAAUACCGAUGGCGAAGGCAGCCAUCUGGCCUAAUACUGACGCUGAGGUACGAAAGCAUGGGGAGCAAACAGG
rnacentral:rRNA from 1 species